AUAUCUCUCUGUACGGGAAGGAUGAGAAGCUUCGACCAAGGUUCGAUUCGAGCGCAGCGAGAAAGC
rnacentral:sRNA from 1 species